rnacentral:rRNA from 1 species
AUUGAACGCUGGCGGCAUGCUUUACACAUGCAAGUCGAACGGUAACAGGCCGCAAGGUGCUGACGAGUGGCGAACGGGUGAGUAAUGCAUCGGAACGUGCCCAGUCGUGGGGGAUAACGCAGCGAAAGCUGCGCUAAUACCGCAUACGAUCUGUGGAUGAAAGCGGGGGACCGUAAGGCCUCGCGCGAUUGGAGCGGCCGAUGUCAGAUUAGGUAGUUGGUGGGGUAAAGGCUCACCAAGCCGACGAUCUGUAGCUGGUCUGAGAGGACGACCAGCCACACUGGGACUGAGACACGGCCCAGACUCCUACGGGAGGCAGCAGUGGGGAAUUUUGGACAAUGGGCGCAAGCCUGAUCCAGCAAUGCCGCGUGCAGGAAGAAGGCCUUCGGGUUGUAAACUGCUUUUGUACGGAACGAAACGGCUCUGGUUAAUACCUGGGGCUAAUGACGGUACCGUAAGAAUAAGCACCGGCUAACUACGUGCCAGCCGCCGCGGUAAUAC